rnacentral:tRNA from 1 species
GCGGGGGUGACAGAGCUGGCCAAAUGUGAUGGAUUCAGGGUCCAUUGGUUUAGUACCUGCGCGGGUUCGAAUCCCGUCUCCCGCACCA